rnacentral:antisense_RNA from 1 species
UUCUUCCAUGGCUUUUUUACCUGCAUCCCCGGUGCGUUUCACAUAAUCAUCAUAAUAAGGUUGUAAAGCAGCCUUAAACGGUUUGAGAUCAGGUUGGGUAACUGUCACAUU